rnacentral:rRNA from 1 species
AGUGGCGAACGGGUGAGUAACGCGUAGACAACUGCCUCUAAUUUGGGGACAACACCGCGAAAGUGGUGCUAAUACCGAAUGUGGUAUCUUGAUCGCAUGAUUGAGAUAAGAAAGAUGGCCUCUAUAUAUAAGCUAUCGAUUAGAGAUGGGUCUGCGUCUGAUUAGCUAGUUGGUGAGGUAAUGGCUCACCAAGGCAACGAUCAGUAGCCGGUCUGAGAGGAUGAACGGCCACACUGGGACUGAGACACGGCCCAGACUCCUACGGGAGGCAGCAGUGGGGAAUCUUCCGCAAUGGACGAAAGUCUGACGGAGCAACGCCGCGUGAGUGAAGAAGGUCUUCGGAUUGUAAAGCUCUGUCGUUUGGGACGAACGUGGAUUGUGUAAAUAAUGCAGUCUAAUGACGGUACCAAAGGAGGAAGCCACGGCUAACUACGUGCCAGCAGCCGCGGUAAUACGUAGGUGGCAAGCGUUGUCCGGAAUUAUUGGGCGUAAAGGGCGUGUAGGUGGAUCCUUAAGUCGUGUGUCUAAGUGCGGGGCUAACUCCGUAUAGGCGCAGGAAACUGGGGAUCUUGAGUGCAGGAGAGGAAAGUGGAAUUCCCAGUGUAGCGGUGAAAUGCGUAGAUAUUGGGAGGAACACCAGUGGCGAAGGCGACUUUCUGGACUGUGUCUGACGCUGAGGCGCGAAAGCUAGGGGAGCGAACGGGAUUAGAUACCCCGGUAGUCCUAGCC